GAUCAUGGCUCAGGAUAAACGCUGGCGGCGUGCUUAACACAUGCAAGUCGAACGAAGUUUUUCUUUCGGGAUAAACUUAGUGGCGGACGGGUGAGUAACGCGUGGGUAACCUGCCCUGUACAGGGGGACAACAGCUGGAAACGGCUGGCUAAUACCGCAUAAGCCCUUAGCACUGCAUGGUGCAUAGGGAAAAGGAGCAAUCCGGUACAGGAUGGACCCGCGUCUGAUUAGCCAGUUGGCAGGGUAACGG
rnacentral:rRNA from 1 species